rnacentral:rRNA from 1 species
UACGUAGGGGGCAAGCGUUGUCCGGAUUUAUUGGGCGUAAAGAGCGUGUAGGCGGCCAGGUAGGUCCGUUGUGAAAACUCGAGGCUCAACCUCGAGACGCCGAUGGAAACCAUCUGGCUAGAGUCCGGAAGAGGAGAGUGGAAUUCCCGGUGUAGCGGUGAAAUGCGCAGAUAUCGGGAGGAACACCGGUGGCGAAGGCGGUUCUCUGGGCCAUUACUGACGCUGAGGAGCGAAAGCGUGGGGAGCGAACAGG